UACGUAGGCAGCGAGCGUUGUUCGGAGUUACUGGGCGUAAAGGGCUCGUAGGUGGCCAACUAAGUCAGACGUGAAAUCCCUCAGCUUAACUGGGGAACUGCGUCUGAUACUGGAUGGCUUGAGUUUGGGAGAGGGAUGCGGAAUUCCAGGUGUAGCGGUGAAAUGCGUAGAUAUCUGGAGGAACACCGGUGGCGAAGGCGGCAUCCUGGACCAACACUGACACUGAGGAGCGAAAGCCAGGGGAGCAAACGGG
rnacentral:rRNA from 1 species